AUUUAUUUAGCCUAUCCUAGAGCACUUUACUGAAGAUAAAGAAGACUAAUACAUC
rnacentral:tRNA from 1 species